rnacentral:rRNA from 1 species
UACGGGGGGGGGCAAGCGUUGUUCGGAAUUACUGGGCGUAAAGGGUUCGUAGGUGCCAACUAAGUCAGACGUGAAAUCCCUCAGCUUAACUGGGGAACUGCGUCUGAUACUGGUUGGCUUGAGUGCAGGAGAGGAACGCGGAAUUCCAGGUGUAGCGGUGAAAUGCGUAGAUAUCUGGAGGAACACCGGUGGCGAAGGCGGCGUUCUGGACUGCAACUGACACUGAGGAACGAAAGCCAGGGGAGCAAACGGG